GUGCUCACUUCAGCAGCACAUAUACUAAAAUUGGAACGAUACAGAGAAGAUUAGUAUGGCCCCUAGGCAAG
ensembl:snRNA U6 U6 spliceosomal RNA